rnacentral:lncRNA from 1 species
GUCAGGCGGUCUGUCAGUCCGCCAGGCAGCACGAAGCGGUUGUCGUGGAUCGUUCUGCGGGCCUUUUUGGGGUGUUUUUCCUCUCCCCGGAUGGCCAGUGCCCUCAGGCCGUCGCACAGCAGAACACCUGAAGCGACGCGUUGAUCCUAAGGGGCUGUGUGACACAUUGGCAGAAGAAGCCUGUCCCCUUCCAUUGUCUGGCUCAAGAAUGGGUAACUGCUGAGGGGUGAGAGUCUUUAGCCCCGAUAUAGCACAAAAUAUCAAAGGUCUCGAAUUUGCUCAGCUUCUGCCAUCUCAGAUACAAUUCUCUAUAUUCUCACUCUGCCAUAUAGUUACCAGAGCUUUGGAAGGAUGAAGUUAUUAUUUAGCACAGGUUUUUAUUAUUAAUCUUACUAGAGAUUGACUGCACACAAAUUCAUAUUGAAAUCAAACGUCGUAUUUCUGAAAGGGACAAUAUAGAUUUAUGGCUGGCUAAGUGCUGAACACUUCUAAAAUCUCACUGCAAUACUGAAACUUCUGUCUAACGUGCUACUGCAUGAAUCCCUUAGCCCUGUGGCAGCUCCUUUUCUGGAUAAUGGGGAUUAUACUUCCCAAUUGGCUGCAUGGAUUCAUUAUUGUUUUUACAGUUAUUGAACAGUUACCAUUUUUGCUCUGGCUUGAAGCUUUUUAAAUAAGUCAUCAGGGCAGCUGUAUUACAAGACCAAGACAGGGAGCUGCAGAAGUGGAAGGAGGUUUGAAGGAACUGGAUUUUAAAUGGGUAUUUUCUAACUAAGGUAUCAAGCACGUCUCAAAUUCAUAUGGCUAAUUGGUGCCAAAGCUGAUGUUGGUUGGUGUCCCAAGGAACAGGGCUAGAGUCUCACAGGUGCGUUGCUUUUUCAGAUAAGAAAGCAGCUAGGGGAGAAAACAAAGGAACAGAUGAAGCAAUACAGAAGUGUUGAGAAGAAUGGAACAUUGUUAGAGCUAAAACCCUGUUAGAUGCCACAGCUUAGAUGUUAUGCUGUGUUAGGACAAGGAACAGAAAAAGAGUAACUUAUUGGUGCAGCAGGAAAAUAUGCAAUUGAUCUGUUGGAUCAUUCUUACAAAAUAAUGCUUCCUUCUG